rnacentral:rRNA from 1 species
CCUACGGGAGGCAGCAGUGAGGAAUAUUGGUCAAUGGCCGGAAGGCUGAACCAGCCAUGCCGCGUGAAGGUCAGUGCCCUAUGGGCGUUAAACUUCUUUUGUGCGGGAGCAAUAAUGGUCACGUGUGGCCAGACGAGAGUACCGUACGAAUAAGCAUCGGCUAACACCGUGCCAGCAGCCGCGGUAAUACGGGGGAUGCAAGCGUUAUCCGGAUUUAUUGGGUUUAAAGGGUGCGUAGGCUGGGAGGUAAGUCAGCGGUGAAAUGCCCCCGCUCAACGGGGUGAAGUGCCAUUGAUACUGGCUUGCUGGAGUGCGGAUGCCGUAGGAGGAAUGUGUGGUGUAGCGGUGAAAUGCAUAGAUAUCACACAGAACACCGAUUGCGAAGGCAUCACACG